rnacentral:rRNA from 1 species
UACGUAGGGGGCGAGCGUUGUCCGGAAUCAUUGGGCGUAAAGCGCGUGUAGGCGGCCGACCAAGUCCGGUGUGAAAGCUCAGGGCUCAACCCUGAGUCUGCACUGGAAACUGGCCGGCUUGAGUCCGGAAGAGGAGACUGGAAUUCCUGGUGUAGCGGUGAAAUGCGCAGAUAUCAGGAAGAACACCGGUGGCGAAGGCGGGUCUCUGGGACGGUACUGACGCUGAGACGCGAAAGCGUGGGGAGCAAACAGGAUUAGAUACCCUGGUAGUCCACGCCGUAAACGAUGGGCACUAGGUGUGGGAGGUGUCGACUCCUUCCGUGCCGUAGCUAACGCAUUAAGUGCCCCGCCUGGGGAGUACGGCCGCAAGGCUAAA